rnacentral:rRNA from 1 species
AUUGAACGCUGGCGGCAUGCCUAACACAUGCAAGUCGAACGGCAGCGCGGGGGCAUCCCUGGCGCGAGUGGCGGACGGGUGAGGAAUGCAUAGGAAUCUGCCCGGUUGUGGGGGAUAACGUAGGGAAACUUACGCUAAUACCGCAUACGACCUUCGGGUGAAAGUGGGGGACCUUCGGGCCUCACGCGAUCGGAUGAGCCUAUGCCCGAUUAGCUAGUUGGCGGGGUAAGAGCCCACCAAGGCGACGAUCGGUAGCUGGUCUGAGAGGAUGAUCAGCCACACUGGGACUGAGACACGGCCCAGACUCCUACGGGAGGCAGCAGUGGGGAAUAUUGGACAAUGGGCGCAAGCCUGAUCCAGCAAUGCCGCGUGUGUGAAGAAGGCCUUCGGGUUGUAAAACACUUUUGUUCGGGAAGAAAUCCGUGUGGUUAAUACCCGUACGGGAUGACGGUACCGAAAGAAAAAGCACCGGCUAACUUCGUG